CCUGUGCCGGUGGGGUCCCUUGGCCUGGCCUGUGCCCUCUUGCAAUCCAGGACCCCUCGCGGGAUGUUGGAGAGCCAGUUUCAGCCCAAUCCCGCAGGCCAGGCUGAGGGACCCCACUGGUGCACA
rnacentral:pre_miRNA from 1 species